rnacentral:rRNA from 1 species
UAGCAUGAAGUCUUACUAGUGAGACCCUUCACUUGAA